rnacentral:rRNA from 1 species
GACGAACGCUGGCGGCGUGCUUAACACAUGCAAGUCGAACGGAAAGGCCCAGCUUGCUGGGUACUCGAGUGGCGAACGGGUGAGUAACACGUGGGUGAUCUGCCCCUGACUUUGGGAUAAGCCUGGGAAACUGGGUCUAAUACCGGAUAUGACCUUACAUCGCAUGGUGUUUGGUGGAAAGCUUUUGCGGUUGGGGAUGGGCCCGCGGCCUAUCAGCUUGUUGGUGGGGUAAUGGCCUACCAAGGCGACGACGGGUAGCCGACCUGAGAGGGUGAUCGGCCACACUGGGACUGAGACACGGCCCAGACUCCUACGGGAGGCAGCAGUGGGGAAUAUUGCACAAUGGGCGCAAGCCUGAUGCAGCGACGCCGCGUGAGGGAUGACGGCCUUCGGGUUGUAAACCUCUUUCACCAGGGACGAAGCGUGAGUGACGGUACCUGGAGAAGAGGCACCGGCCAACUACGUG